rnacentral:tRNA from 1 species
GAGGGUAUAGCUCAGUGGUAGAGCUCAUGCUUAGCAUGCAUGAGGUCCUUGGUUCAAUCCCCAGUACUGCCA